AGAUUGAACGCUGGCGGCAGGCCUAACACAUGCAAGUCGAGCGGUAGAGAGGUGCUUGCAUCUCUUGAGAGCGGCGGACGGGUGAGUAAUGCCUAGGAAUCUGCCUAGUGGUGGGGGAUAACGUUCGGAAACGGACGCUAAUACCGCAUACGUCCUACGGGAGAAAGCGGGGGACCUUCGGGCCUCGCGCCAUUAGAUGAGCCUAGGUCGGAUUAGCUAGUUGGUGGGGUAAUGGCCUACCAAGGCGACGACGGGUAGCCGACCUGAGAGGGUGACCGGCCACACUGGGACUGAGACACGGCCCAGACUCCUACGGGAGGCAGCAGUGGGGAAUAGUUGCACAAUGGGCGAAAGCCUGAUGCAGCGACGCCGCGUGAGGAUGAAGGCCUUCGGGUUACGUAAACCUUCUUUCAGUCGAGGGACGAAGCGACGAAGUGACCGGUACCUGACCAGAAGAAGCACCGGCUAACGUACGUGCCGAGCCAGCCGACGGUAAUCGUAGACGCGG
rnacentral:rRNA from 1 species